rnacentral:rRNA from 1 species
UGAAUACGAGACGCUAAGGCGUCGAAGUAGUGUAUGUCAGACUUCCAAGAAAAGCUCGCACUGUCAUAGGUAAAAAAUGCCUGUACCAUAACCGACACAGGUGGGUAGGUAGAGUAUACUAAGGGGCGCGAGAUAACUCUCUCUAAGGAACUCGGCAAAAUGACUCCGUAACUUCGGGAGAAGGAGUGCCUUAUUUAUAAGGUUGCAAUAACAAGAUCCAAGCAACUGUUUACCAAAAACACAGGUCUCCGCUAAGUCGUAAGACGAUGUAUGGGGGCUGACGCCUGCCCAGUGCCAGAAGGUUAAAGAAGUUGGUUAGCAUUCGCGAAGCUGAUAACUGAAGCCCUGGUGAACGGCGGCCGUAACGAUAACGGUCCUAAGGUAGCGAAAUUCCUUGUCGGGUAAGUUCCGACCCGCACGAAAGGCGUAAUGAUUUGGAUACUGUCUCGGAGAGAGGCUCGGUGAAAUAGACUUGUCUGUGAAGAUGCGGACUACCUGCACCUGGACAGAAAGACCCUAUGAAGCUUUACUGUAACUUGAAAUUGAAAUUGGACUUUAGUCGCGCAGCAUGGGUGGGAAGCGUUGAGCAUAUUCUUGCGGGAAUAUAGGAGCUAUCAGUGAGAUACCACUCUUCUAAUGUUAGAUUUCUAACCUUGAACCAUUAUCUGGUCAAGGAACAGUUUCAGGCGGGCAGUUUGACUGGGGCGGUCGCCUCCCAAAUGGUAACGGAGGCGUACAAAGGUUUCCUCUGAACGGAUAGAAAUCGUAUCUAGAGUAUAAAGGCAUAAGGAAGCUUGACUGUGAGACCUACAAGUCGAGCAGGGACGAAAGUCGGUCUUAGUGAUCUGACGGUACUGAGUGGAAAGGCCGUCACUCAACGGAUAAAAGUUACUCUAGGAUAACAGGCUGAUCUCCCCCAAGAGUUCACAUCGACGGGGAGGUUUGGCACCUCGAUGUCGGCUCAUCGCAUCCUGGGGCGGUAGUACGUCCCAAGGGUUGGGCUGUUCGCCCAUGAAAGCGGUACGCGAGCUGGGUUCAGAACGUCGUGAGACAGUUCGGUCCAUAUCCGGUGUAGGCGUUAGAAUAUUGAGAGGAGCCUUCUUUAGUACGAGAGGACCGAGAAGGACAUACCUCUGGUGUACCAGUUAUCGUGCCAACGGUAAACGCUGGGUAGCUAUGUAUGGAGUGGAUAACCGCUGAAAGCAUCUAAGUGGGAAGCCCACCUCAAGAUGAGUAUUCUC